GAGGGUGUCGGAUCCCGUUACAGAUGGUUGUGGUUGCUGGGAAUAGGACAUAGGACCUCUGGAAGAGCAGUCAUCCGAGCACCGAGCCAUCUCUCCAGCCUGAGAAUCACUGGAAGAGGAGAAACUUGACAUAUGCCAACUUAUCAAGUAAUUGUAGUUCAUCUUCUCGGCGAUGCACACAUCAGAGUGUGUGACCCUGCACCUAAUGUAACGAAGGACAGUACACAGACCCACAAAGGUGGCAGCACAGAGCCUGCACCUGCCCUUUGCUUGUUAGAUGGACAUUACAGCAAUGGCAAGUCCUGAGGAUUAGGUGGGGAAAGUUGCUAUUGCUGAAGAUAAUUUCCCCUAGAAAUGUGCUUCAAAGAUCUUGAGGAGGAGACAUUCAACCUGAAUGGGGCUGAUGCUAAGAUCCUUUAGAGACUGCAUGCAAGGGAGCCGUGCUUGAUGCUUCCUUACAAGGAUGCUCGCAGAGUCUAUCCACGCGGGG
ensembl:lncRNA